CCUACGGGGGGCAGCAGUGAGGAAUAUUGGUCAAUGGCCGGAAGGCUGAACCAGCCAUGCCGCGUGAAGGGCAGGGCCCUAUGGGCGUUAAACUUCUUUUGUGCGGGAGCAAGAAUGGGCACGUGGGGCCAGACGAGAGUACCGUACGAAGAAGCAGCGGCUAACUCCGUGCCAGCAGCCGCGGUAAUACGGGGGAUGCAAGCGUUCUCCGGAUUUCUGGGGUUUAAAGGGUGCGUAGGCUGUGAGGUAAGUCAGCGGUGAAAUGCCCCCGCUCAACGGGGUGAAGUGCCAUUGAUACUGCCUUGCUGGACUGCGGAUGCCGUGGGAGGCCUGUGUGGUGUAGCGGU
rnacentral:rRNA from 1 species